rnacentral:rRNA from 1 species
GUACACGCUGUGACUAGCAUAUCAAUAAGCGGAGGAAAAGAAACUAACAAGGAUUCCCCUAGUAACGGCGAGUGAAGCGGGAAGAGCUCAAAUUUGAAAUCUUAAAGGGUUUCCCUUUACGAAUUGUAGUUUAAAGAAGUGUUUUCUGUUGAGGUUUUGGUAAAAGUUCUUUGGAAUAGGACAUCAUAGAGGGUGAGAAUCCCGUAUUUGACCUUUACUUUCAACUUUGUGAUACACUUUCAAAGAGUCGGAUUGUUUGGGAAUGCAGUCCAAAAUGGGUGGUAAAUUUCAUCUAAAGCUAAAUAUUGGCGAGAGACCGAUAGCGAACAAGUACCGUGAGGGAAAGAUGAAAAGAACUUUGAAAAGAGAGUUAAACAGUACGUGGAAUUGUCAAAAGGGAAGCGUUUGACACCAGUGUUGUUUUUCUGAAAAUCAAUUAAAGAACUGUUUAUGCUAAGCUGUUUAGACUUUAUCAGCUAAUCUGUUUAGUUUUGAGCUUUUCUUUAAUGCACUUUUCAGUUAACAAGUCAACAUCAAUUUCUUUUGCUGUAAAAAAGCUUGAGGAAGGUGGCUUGAGAUUCGUCUUAAGUGUUUAUAGCCUCUUGCCUAUGCAGUCGGAGAGAUUGAGGUCUGCAGCGUAGAUCCUUCGGGGCUAAAUGCAUUUGUGCUAAGUUAUAGCAUUUUAUAGACAACUUGUUGACUAUGAUUUGUCUUGUAGCUUACUCGCUUAUGUUAUUUUACCUACGCUUAGGAUGUUGAGUCGUAGAGCACGCAG